AUUUCUGGUUGGCAAUUUUGAAUAAGCCAAUUUAAAAAUGUUCUGCAUAGAAAAACAGCCUAAUGACCAUCUCUUCAAACAAGCUGUCCCAAAAUGUAGUGGACUUUAUGAUGAGAUUUGACACACAUGGAGCUAUUCCUACAUGAAAAGUUCAGCCAGAAAAGAAAAAAAAAUUUUUUUCAAGAGAGAAAGAUGAGAGAGAGAGAGAAGGUGAGUGGCCCAGGGAGACUAAUACCCACUCAGUCCUGGCAUCUCUCCUCGUGGGGAGGCACUCAUCUUUAGGACUUCAAGGAAAUACUCAUUCCUAUGGUUUUGGAAGAGGAGCCAAUUAAUGAUUGGCAAUUUGCGGGUGUUCCGGGGAAGGAUAAGCCCGUUAGAUGUGAACUGGCGAGACCGCACAAACUCUAGGCGCCACGGAGACACACGGGGGAGCCGAGGGCAGCGAUCCCGCCAGGCAGAAGCGAAGCGGCGCCUGUCGAGGCAUGGAGCAGGCGCUGGGCAGGCACAGGGCCGGCCCACGCCCAGCCGGGAACCCUGAUGUGUACUAGCCACGAGAAAGCCCAUGCAAUGAGAGAGGACAAAGGGGGAAAAAACCCGGAUAAUUACUACUGCUGUGUUCUUUGCCUAGGCAGAGACGCUUCAGGGCAGACCCUGCAAGGGAGAAAGAAACGACACAAGACCACAGAGUUAGGCAGAACAGCACACACCGGGACACGCUACCACACUAAGCAAAAGUCGUCAGUGUGCAGGGAGGGGCAGACACAGGCAGCAGUUCAGAGAGAGGGCCGACCCGGCUGGGGGAAACAGGGCAGCCCCCGGAGAGAGGGUGCAGGCUCCCACGAGCUUCGCCGAGGGGGCAGAGGUGCCAGGGCCAAGCCCCCAAGCUUCAGGGAGAAGUGUUUGUCUCUAGAAGCAUAUUCAAAGAAAAGUAAAAGAGAAAGAAAAAAGAAAAAAAGAAAAAAGCAAAGCACAGCGCUUGGCUUUCAAACAUCAGGCUUCUGGGAGCCCCACUGACGGAGGCAGGACACCCUGCUGAGAGUCGGCCACGGGAGCUCUGGAAUGGAGCCGGGCACGGCUGGGCUUGGCCGCCGAAGCCCAUCAGAGGUUUUCCAAGUGCAAAAAGAUACAUUGUUUUGCAGGUUGGAGGCCAAGUCUGGAUCUCAGAUGGCUGCCUCAGGUGAUGAGGUCAGCGGCAGGCGUUGAGUAGAGGACCCAGGGUUUCUAUCUAGGGACUGACCCCAAUGUCUGGGGACACUGCCGCCUCAUUAGAAGUCAGUAUCCACAAGGGGUAGGGCAAGGCCUCAGCCUGGAACACUUCUGGCCUCCUUGUAAUUCGGACCACCACUAAACUGACUGGUCCCAACUACCCAGAGGCCACCUGGUGUACACUGAAUGCAACGUCCUAGCCAGUCAGUGCCCAGCCUGGUGGGGACAAGGUCCCCAGGGCAGGCUGGGCCGGAAGGCGCGGCCAUCCCCGCUUAUCCUUAUGGGCAGGCAGAGCUGGGACGGGCAAGAACAGGCUCAGGCUUCCCCAAGGUCACUCAGCAAAGCCACACUAGCACGGAGGCUCUGUCUACACUCC
ensembl:lncRNA